rnacentral:rRNA from 1 species
UACGAAGGGGGCUAGCGUUGCUCGGAAUUACUGGGCGUAAAGGGCGCGUAGGCGGACAGUUUAGUCAGAGGUGAAAGCCCAGGGCUCAACCUUGGAACUGCCUUUGAUACUGACUGUCUUGAGUUCGGGAGAGGUGAGUGGAAUGCCGAGUGUAGAGGUGAAAUUCGUAGAUAUUCGGCGGAACACCAGUGGCGAAGGCGGCUCACUGGCCCGAUACUGACGCUGAGGCGCGAAAGCGUGGGGAGCAAACAGG